rnacentral:rRNA from 1 species
CCUACGGGAGGCAGCAGUGGGGAAUUUUGGACAAUGGACGCAAGUCUGAUCCAGCCAUUCCGCGUGCAGGACGAAGGCCUUCGGGUUGUAAACUGCUUUUGUACAGAACGAAAAGGUCUCUAUUAAUACUAGGGGCUCAUGACGGUACUGUAAGAAUAAGCACCGGCUAACUACGUGCCAGCAGCCGCGGUAAUACGUAGGGUGCAAGCGUUAAUCGGAAUUACUGGGCGUAAAGCGUGCGCAGGCGGUUAUAUAAGACAGAUGUGAAAUCCCCGGGCUCAACCUGGGAACUGCAUUUGUGACUGUAUAGCUAGAGUGCGGCAGAGGGGGAUGGAAUUCCGCGUGUAGCAGUGAAAUGCGUAGAUAUGCGGAGGAACACCGAUGGCGAAGGCAAUCCCCUGGGCCUGCACUGACGCUCAUGCACGAAAGCGUGGGGAGCAAACAGGAUUAGAUACCCUGGUAGUCCACGCCCUAAACGAUGUCAACUGGUUGUUGGGUAUUAACUCACUCAGUAACGCAGGUA